rnacentral:sRNA from 1 species
GCUGGGCGUGGUGGCUCACGUCUGUAAUCCCAGCAUUUUGGGAGGCAGAGGCAGGUGGAUCACCUGAGGUCAGGAGUUCGAGACCAGCCUGACCAACAUGGUGAAACCCCGUCUCUA